rnacentral:rRNA from 1 species
GUGGCGAACGGGUGAGUAACACGUGGGUAACCUGCCCAUCAGAAGGGGAUAACACUUGGAAACAGGUGCUAAUACCGUAUAACAAUCAAAACCGCAUGGUUUUGAUUUGAAAGGCGCUUUCGGGUGUCGCUGAUGGAUGGACCCGCGGUGCAUUAGCUAGUUGGUGAGGUAACGGCUCACCAAGGCCACGAUGCAUAGCCGACCUGAGAGGGUGAUCGGCCACAUUGGGACUGAGACACGGCCCAAACUCCUACGGGAGGCAGCAGUAGGGAAUCUUCGGCAAUGGACGAAAGUCUGACCGAGCAACGCCGCGUGAGUGAAGAAGGUUUUCGGAUCGUAAAACUCUGUUGUUAGAGAAGAACAAGGAUGAGAGUAACUGUUCAUCCCUUGACGGUAUCUAACCAGAAAGCCACGGCUAACUACGUGCCAGCAGCCGCGGUAAUACGUAGGUGGCAAGCGUUGUCCGGAUUUAUUGGGCGUAAAGCGAGCGCAGGCGGUUUCUUAAGUCUGAUGUGAAAGCCCCCGGCUCAACCGGGGAGGGUCAUUGGAAACUGGGAGACUUGAGUGCAGAAGAGGAGAGUGGAAUUCCAUGUGUAGCGGUGAAAUGCGUAGAUAUAUGGAGGAACACCAGUGGCGAAGGCGGCUCUCUGGUCUGUAACUGACGCUGAGGCUCGAAAGCGUGGGGAGCAAACAGGAUUAGAUACCCUGGUAGUCCACGCCGUAAACGAUGAGUGCUAAGUGUUGGAGGGUUUCCGCCCUUCAGUGCUGCAGCUAACGCAUUAAGCACUCCGCCUGGGG